CCUACGGGAGGCAGCAGUAGGGAAUAUUGCUCAAUGGGGGAAACCCUGAAGCAGCAACGCCGCGUGGAGGAUGAAGGUUUUAGGAUUGUAAACCCCUUUUGUUAGAGAAGAUUAUGACGGUACCUAACGAAUAAGCACCGGCUAACUCCGUGCCAGCAGCCGCGGUAAUACGGCGGGUGCAAGCGUUACUCGGAAUUACUGGGCGUAAAGGGUGCGUAGGCGGGAUGAUAAGUCAAGUGUGAAAUCCUGUAGCUUAACUACAGAACUGCAUUUGAAACUGUUACUCUGGAGUGUGGGAGAGGUAUGUGGAAUUCUUGGUGUAGGGGUAAAAUCCGUAGAGAUCAAGAGGAAUACUCAUUGCGAAGGCGACCUACUGGAACAUAACUGACGCUGAUGCACGAAAGCGUGGGGAGCAAACAGGAUUAGAUACCCUAGUAGUC
rnacentral:rRNA from 1 species